rfam:Triticum aestivum genome assembly, contig: Triticum_aestivum_CS42_TGACv1_scaffold_158544_2DL
CAACUAUUCCCUCUGUUCGGAAUUACUCGUCCAAGAAAUGAAUGUAUCUAGAUGUAUUUUAGUUAUAGAUACAUCCAUUUUUGUGACAAGUAAUUCCGAACGGAGGGAGUAGUAU